AAUGAACGCUGGCGGCAUGCCUAACACAUGCAAGUCGAACGAGACCUUCGGGACUAGUGGCGCAUGGGUGUGUCACGCGUGGGAACCUUCCCUUAGGUUCGGAAUAACUCUCCGACAGGGGUGAUAAUACCGGAUAAUGUCUUCUGACCAAUGAUUUAUCGCGCUAGGUGGGGCCCGCGUUGGAUUAGCUAGUUGGUAGGGUAAAAGCCUACCAAGGCGACGAUCCAUAGCUGGUUUGAGAGGAUGAUCAGCCACACUGAGACGGAGACACGGCCAAGACUCCUACGCGAGGCAGCAGUGCGGAAUAUUGGACAAUGGGGGGAGGCCUGAUCCAGCAAGGCCGCUAGAGUGAUGAAGGCCUUAGAGUUGAAAAGCUCUUUUACCCGGGAUGAUAAUGACGGUACCGAGAGAAUAAGCUCCGGCUAACUCCGUG
rnacentral:rRNA from 1 species